GUACGAGCUGGGCCCGGCGCUGUUCGUGGGCUGGGCCGGUUCCGCGCUGUUGUUGUUGGGCGGUUCCGCGCUGCUCUGCUCCUGCGGGAACCGAACCGGAACCGGAAAGGCCCGAUACCCACGUGUCAACAACGCGCCGAGGAAAGCCGGAAGCGGAAGUGCCACCGACUACGUUUGAGAGACGCCCUGCGAGAAGAAGCGGGCCAAUCAAAUCGCAGAAUCUCCCUUUAGCCCCGCCCACGUAGACCACACCCUAUUAAGCCCCUCCCACUUUCGCGCGACCGGAACCGGAAGUGCGGCCGACUACGUCAAGGCGCGCUCUCCACCAGGCCACGCCCCCACGGCCCCCAAUCCACCAAUCGGAUCGCAGCGCGCCUAUUUAGCCCCGCCCCCUUCAGCCCCCUCCUCAAUUUGGGGCCGUUUCCCCCUUUUUAAUCAUUUCCCGCCAUAUUUGUUGCUUUUUUCUCCAUCUCCCGUUUUUCCUCUCGCGAUAUUUCAUCAUUUUGGGCUCAUUUCCCCCCAUUUCGGGUCCAUUUCCCCGAUUCUGUCCGUUUUUUCCCCUCUCUGUUGAUUUUUAAUCACUUUUGCCCCCAAACCGAUCGAUUUCCCCCAAAAAUCACCAUUUUCCGCCCAAUUUUCCCCAUUUUCUCCCCCAAUUUCGCCAUUCCUGGCCCCAUUCGGGCCUUUUGGGGCCAUUUUGGGGCCUUUUCCCCUAUUUUGUACUUUUCCCCCCAUUUCCUCCUUCUUUCCUCCCAAUUUCCUCAUUUUUAUACGAAAUAAACUUGUUUUUUUGGAGCCUUUUACCCAAUUCCGGCCUUUUUUGCCUCGAGUUCAAAAUGGCGGCUCCCGCGCUGUCCAAAAUGGCGGCGCCCUUGUGGGGAAUCCAAGAUGGCGGCUGGCGGCGGCGCGGUUUGAUGACGUCAAAUCUCCCGCGCCGUUGCCAUGCUGCGCGCGUUGGUGGAGGGCGGCGCGGAGCGGCUGGUUUGGGUGGAGGGUCCGGUUAUGGGGCUCCAUUGGGGUCUAUGGGGCCGGGUGUGGGGCUGUGGGGCCCCAUUGGGGUCUAUGGGACCGGGUUUGGGUCUCCAUUGGGGUCUAUGGGGCAGGCUGUGGGGCUGUGGGGCUCCAUUGGGGUCUAUGGGGCUUGGUGGGGGAUCCAAUGGGGAUCUAUGGGUCUGGGACUGUGGGGUGCCAUGGGGAUCUAUGGGGCUCCAUUGGGGUCUAUGGGGCUCGGUGGGGGAUUCAGUGGGGGUCUAUGGGGCUGGGUGUUGGGUUGUGAGGUUCCAUGGGGGUCUAUGGGGCUCAGUGGGGGGGUCAGUGGGUAUCUGUGGGGCUGGGUGUUGGGUUGUGGGUCACAAUGGGGGUCUAUGGGGCUGGCUAUGGGGUGCUAUAGUGCCGUGGGUCUCACUGUGCCCCACAGAUAACGCCACGUGUGAAGGCCGCAGCCUCCUCCGGGCUUUUGUCACUGCUGCCGUGAAAAGGGCUGAGCCGGUCGACGUCGUCCUCCUCGAGGUGACCAGGGAGCAGUUUGGGAUCGGACUGAGCCCGGAGGUGAAGGAGCAGCUCCGUUUCCAUGAUGACGUCACGGACCCCCGGGGUUGGUUGGGGGUCGCUGUGGGUCGCCCGGCUCUAUGGGGUUUGGGCCUCAAUGGGGCCGGGCCCAACUCGAUGGUGGUGGUGGAUUCCUUGAGCGCCGCCCUGCUCCGACAGCGCCCCCACGUGGCCGGGAGGACUAUGAAAGCCGCCAUGGGGGCGGGGCG
ensembl:lncRNA